GAGUAAUAUAUGGGAAAGUGCCCAGUCGUGGGGGAUAACUACUCGAAAGAGUAGCUAAUACCGCAUACGACCUGAGGGUGAAAGCGGGGGAUCGCAAGACCUCGCGCGAUUGGAGCGGCCGAUAUCAGAUUAGGUAGUUGGUGGGGUAAAGGCCUACCAAGCCAACGAUCUGUAGCUGGUCUGAGAGGACGACCAGCCACACUGGGACUGAGACUCUGCCCAGACUCCUACGGGAGGCAGCAGUGGG
rnacentral:rRNA from 1 species